CAUGCAAGUCGAACGGCAGCGGGUAGGAAGCUUGCUUCCUAUGCCGGCGAGUGGCGGACGGGUGAGGAGCACAUCGGAAUCUACUCCGUCGUGGGGGAUAACGUAGGGAAACUUACGCUAAUACCGCAUACGACCUAAGGGUGAAAGUGGGGGACCGCAAGGCCUCACGCGAUGGAAUGAGCCGAUGUCCGAUUAGCUAGUUGGCGGGGUAAAGGCCCACCAAGGCGACGAUCGGUAGCUGGUCUGAGAGGAUGAUCAGCCACACUGGGACUGAGACACGGCCCAGACUCCUACGGGAGGCAGCAGUGGGGAAUAUUGGACAAUGGGCGAAAGCCUGAUCCAGCCAUGCCGCGUGGGUGAAGAAGGCCUUCGGGUUGUAAAGCCCUUUUGUUGGGGAAGAAAUCCUGCUGGCUAAUACCCGGCGGGGAUGACGGUACCCAAAGAAUAAGCACCGGCUAACUUCGUGCCAGCAGCCGCGGUAAUACGAAGGGUGCAAGCGUUACUCGGAAUUACUGGGCGUAAAGCGUGCGUAGGUGGUGGCUUAAGUCCGUUGUGAAAGCCCUGGGCUCAACCUGGGAAUUGCAGUGGAUACUGGGUCACUAGAGUGUGGUAGAGGGUGGCGGAAUUCCCGGUGUAGCAGUGAAAUGCGUAGAGAUCGGGAGGAACACCCGUGGCGAAGGCGGCCACCUGGGCCAACACUGACACUGAGGCACGAAAGCGUGGGGAGCAAACAGGAUUAGAUACCCUGGUAGUCCACGCCCUAAACGAUGCGAACUGGAUGUUGGGUUCAAUUUGGGACUCAGUAUCGAAGCUAACGCGUUAAGUUCGCCGCCUGGGGGAGUACGGUCGCAGACUGAAACUCAAAGGAUUUGACGGGGGCCCGCACAAGCGGUGAAGUAUGUGGUUAAUUCGAUGCAACGCGAAGAACCUUACCUGGUCUUGACAUCCGCGG
rnacentral:rRNA from 1 species